rnacentral:lncRNA from 1 species
UGAUCUUCGACAUCAAGGCAGACAGACACAGAAGCAGGUGUAGACGUUAGUGACCUGCCUGCUUGAUGGAUUCAGAUGCAGUAAGAUCUUAAUAGAUAUCCCUCUUCUCUCUCCUCUACCUCAGUUUCCUGUACCUCCCACCACCCCAGCUUCCUCUCAGCCUAGCACGCCAUCACCACCACCUCCACCUCUCAGCCUUCCAGCCUGCUCGCUGUCUCCCUGGUUCUGUUUGCCAAAAUGGUACCUUGGACUCUCAAGAUUGCUGGGUGAUCUGGUUUAAACACAGCAGAACUCUUCCUCUUCUACACUGAAAAUGC